rnacentral:rRNA from 1 species
GACGAACGCUGGCGGCGUGCCUAAUACAUGCAAGUUGAGCGCUGAAGGUUGGUACUUGUACCAACUGGGUGAGCAGCGAACGGGUGAGUAACGCGUGGGGAAUCUGCCUUUGAGCGGGGGACAACAUGUGGAAACGAAUGCUAAUACCGCAUAAAAACUUUAAACACAAGGUGGAAGUUAGAAAGAUGCAAUUGCAUCACUCAAAGAUGAUCCCGCGUUGUAUUAGCUAGUUAGUGAGGUAAAGGCUCACGAAGGCGAGGAUACAUAGCCGAACUGAUAGGGUGGUCGGCCACCCUGGGACUGAGACACGGCACAAACGCCUACGGGAGGCAGCAGUAGGGAAUCUUGGGGCAGGGACGAAAGUCUGAGCGAGAAACGCCGCGUGAGGGAAGAAGGUCUCCGGAUCGUAAAACUCUGUUGGUAGAGAGGAAAGUUCGUGAGACUGGAAAGCUGAGCAAGUGACGGUAACUACCCAGAAAGCGACGGCUAACUACGUG